rnacentral:rRNA from 1 species
CCUACGGGUGGCAGCAGUGAGGAAUAUUGGUCAAUGGGCGCGAGCCUGAACCAGCCAAGUCGCGUGAGGGAAGACGGUCCUAUGGAUUGUAAACCUCUUUUGUCGGGGAGCAAAAGACGCCACGCGUGGCGUUCCGAGAGUACCCGAAGAAAAAGCAUCGGCUAACUCCGUGCCAGCAUCCGCGGUAAUAAGGAGGAUGCGAGCGUUAUCCGGAUUUAGUGGGUUUAACGGGGGCGCAGGCGGAAGAUCAAGUCAGCGGUAAAAUUGAGAGGCUCAACCUCUUCGAGCCGUUGAAACUGGUUUUCUUGAGUGAGUGAGAAGUAUGCGGAAUGCGUGGUGUAGCGGUGAAAUGCAUAGAUAUCACGCAGAACUCCGAUUGCGAAGGCAGCAUACCGGCGCCCAACUGACGCUGAAGCACGAAAGCGUGGGUAUCGAACAGGAUUAGAUACCCCUGUAGUC